UAAAUACUCCCUCCGUUCGGAAUUACUUGUCUCGAAUAUGGAUGUAUCUAGAACUAAAAUACAUCUAGAUACAUCCAUUUCUGCGACAAGUAAUUCCGAACGGAGGGAGUAUUUA
rfam:Triticum urartu cultivar G1812 contig264810, whole genome shotgun sequence.